UACGAAGGGGGCUAGCGUUGCUCGGAAUCACUGGGCGUAAAGCGCACGUAGGCGGAUUGCUAAGUCAGGGGUGAAAUCCUGGAGCUCAACUCCAGAACUGCCUUUGAUACUGGCGAUCUCGAGUCCGGGAGAGGUGAGUGGAACUGCGAGUGUAGAGGUGAAAUUCGUAGAUAUUCGCAAGAACACCAGUGGCGAAGGCGGCUCACUGGCCCGGUACUGACGCUGAGGUGCGAAAGCGUGGGGAGCAACAGG
rnacentral:rRNA from 1 species